AUGGCCGCGGCUCCCCCGUCGACUCCACUUCUGCCUCUCGCCCUGGUGGAGUUCCGGAGUCUAUGGGGAGCACGUUCGGGGAUCGAUUUAUCGUGUAGACGAGACGUGAUAAAUUGAUCCCCGAUAGAGGUUAGUACCCCUAGUCUAAUGUCUUCUGAUGCAGUUCCUGUUUUAGAGCUCUCCUGUAUUGGCAUGUGUGGGGCCUUGCUUCAUUGUAAGGGCAUGAUUGGGUACAGUCAUUGGGCACUGGAGUUUUCCAGACCCUGUCUGCUUGCCUUAUGCCAUCCACAGGGAUUUGUCUCAUAUUCACCUUUGUCAAUUGCAUUGGCCCUGUUAUUGAUUCCACCUCCUCCCCCUCUUCCCCCUGCCCCCCCCCCAAACAAAGAGAAACAACCAGUCCCCUUCCCUACAUGGCUGUGUUUAUGCAGCCCUGGAAGCUGCAGACACCCUGGGACCAUCCCUUGUGUGACCAACACCGCCCCCUCCCUGGCACUGAGCUGUGUGCUGAGUGCCGGUCUGAGGCUUUAGAAAUUGUCCUGGUGCACAGGCGUAGCUGUCAGUAGCAAUUGCUGCUCUUCCUAAAUGGGAAGCCAGCACCCCAGGGGGAUGGAAAAGGCAAGGGAGUUUUAGGUUUUCAGGAUUAUGGGGAUUGGGCUGAGAGCAUCGUGGCUCAGCUCCCAUUAUUCUGGAGAUGGCAUUUGUCUGCGGCGUGACGUUACUGCUGCACGAAGCUCCCCUUGUCAGAGGAUCAGGGGUGGAGGGCAGAGUUAGUUGCAGAUGGAAUUGGGUCUCCUUAAAUAUCCUGAGGUGCCUUUGUGUUGUACUCCCCGGGAAGAGCCCUCCUCCGCCCUCAGGGGCAAGCUGUGGCAUUGUUCAUCUCCCCGCGAGGCAGCUGUAUACAGUACUACGGUCUUCAGCAGUAAUGAUCCCGACACCCCAGCGCUUACGACAAGGAUACUGCCGUGACCAGGCUGUUACUCCAGGGCACUGGGGUGCUGUUGGAUAAAGGGAGGGAGUUUUCUGUCUCCUGGGUGUUUUCUAGCCAAUCCACACAUUGCUGUCACCGCGUAGGGAGGACACGUCCUUUGAAAACAUCUGAGGGAGGACAGAAGAGCAUAGACCAACUGCACAAAAGCGGGGGGGGGUGCAGUCCUGUUUAGUAAAAGGGGGAAGAAUCUUUAGAACCCUCUUUCCCCCACUGCCUAAAUUCCGCCUUGCCCAUAUGCUGCUCGUCCUUUAUAUAAUCCUUAGCCCCAUAUACUCUUGUGAUGCUAUGGCCUGCUUUAGUGGGCUAUUUACUAUGGAGUGCAGGAGGAACGUUCUUUUUUUAGAUAAGGAAACCUGGAUUCUGCUGACUGCACUGGGAGAUGUUGAGCUGCUCUAUGAUCUGUUUGGGGGGCGGAGGUAAAUCCCCCCAAGCAUUGCAGGACCAGGAGUACAAGACAGAGCUGUAGGAACCCAGAAUAGGGACUUUCUACCAGUUCCUGGCAAAUCCAGAUCCUCUGGUGUCUGAUCCGCACCCAGCAAUGCCACAUCCUUGGCUGGCAGAACUGGAGAAGGGAAGAAAGUGGCGGUUUUCAGAAGGAUUUUUAGCAGCCCCCUUUUGGGGAGGGUGAGUUGCUGGCUGUUGACUCUCUGAUGUUUGCAGCUAGUGAAAGAAUUAGUUGUCCGGCACUCCAGUCUUGUCGGAGUCCAGAUGGACGUCGUCAGUCAGUGACGGGCGCGACUGGAGUUCAGUGGAAAAGCUGGAGUCUGACACAAGAUGGCGCCCUGACCAAACAAACCAAGUGGUGAUAAAUUGUGUGUAUUUUCCAAGUUUGAGCCUGAAACCAGGGGAGGCGGCGCCUGUCCUGCUUGCGAGAUUCUCAGGAGCCAGCCCUCGUGACCGACUCGGAUGUGAAAUGCUGAUGGAGUGGGGAGGGAGGAAAAGUCUAUCCAGGGGUCUGGGAGGUGGAUACUGGGGCCAAAUUCUGUCUGACUUGCACCCCACUGAACUCUAUGGACAUUGGUGGAAGAGGCAGUCAGGGCACAGGCAGACUGCUAGCCGUGUUGAUGCUGCAUAAGCUGGGAAGGAGUUGGGAUUCGGAGUAUAACAAAGGCUGCAGGACAUUUCUUCCUGUUUUUCAGAGUAGGACUUCACUGUAAGCUGGUUUGGAGUUCUGAGAAUAUAUAGAUUUGUUGCGGGGGUGGGGUGCGUUGUCAAGGUGCUUCAAAGAGGGAAGGCAUAUGGCUAACGAGAAAUAUCCAGCGUUAACAGAGUUAAUACCAAAAAAACCGUGGAAGGGAUGUAAAACCCCUCCUCUGCUGAGUCAAGCCAGCCUCUGACUACUAGAGAUCAGGAGGGGAUGUAAUGUGGGGGGUCAGAUUAUCCCACAUCUGCGGGGGGGCGUCUCCUGCACCUUCCUCCAAAGUAUCGGAUGCUGGCCGUUGUCCGAGACGCGGGGGACAUGGGUCACCUUCAGUCUGGCUGUUCCUGUGCACCUGUGUUCCCACUCCUGCUCAUUCCGAAUGGCUUUUAUUGUAACACGCAAUCCUCUUUUAAUGCUGUGGAUAAAAAUAAAAUGGGGAAGUUCUUGAGAACCAAUCCCUUGUUUUCAGACCCGGGGCAAACUAAGGUAGUGAGAGCAGUAAGCUGGGGUGGGAGACGUGUUCUGAUCGCAGUGAAAUUCAGAGCUGAGGCUGCUUUGACGUCUGCCACUGAGGUCGUUGCACCAGUGCAAGCAUCUAGUGCGGAAAGACCAAGCUGCAGUUUGCACUGGUGCCUCUGAUCAAUCUGGGAUAAAUGGCUCUGCUGCAAGUAGCUUGGCUUGUCUACAUUAGGGAGGUUGCACUGGUGUAGCUACAUCAUCGGCUCAGAUCCCGAGGAGACAAAGGCUGUCUAAUCAGAUAUGAGCAUGGAUUGGAGCUACCUCCUCCAUGGAUUAUAAUGGCAGGCGGGCCUACCUAUCAGCCUCAGAGCAAAGGGUAAGCGUAAAGCAUUGUGUAGUGGGGAAACCCUGGUGGUUGCUUUUAGAAGGGACGAUGCUGUAGUUUACUGGCAUUAGAAAAGGUUUUUGGUCUUCCUCUUCUCCAUCGUGUCUCAUACCAUCCGCUACAUUGUUUUCUCCAGACAGAAAAUCCUCCCGCUUCUGAAAGCAUUAACACAGACUGCCACCGCCAUCACAACCCCCUACGAUAGGACCUUGUCACGGGGUGCUCCCUUAGCUACCCGCUGUGCCUCACUUCCUGGCCUGCUUCCAUGGUCCCUCAGUCCCAAACCAAAGAGAGGAUACAGGUAUCCUGCAGGCAGGGCUUUCCAUACAGCUUUUGAGCUCCCCCCUUCCUGAUCCUCCCAAUUACUGCCAGUUAUUCCAGUCGUGUAGUAAUUACCCCCCAGGUGCUCAUAAUCUCCUAAUAGAAAAGUGGUUAACUGCUUCCCGCUGAGCCCGUAGCCUUUCCUUGUCUGCAACAACGUCAGUGCUUAGGGUGGUGCUGCUCGCCCUCUGUCACAGAUCUAGACGAACACAAUUCCCCCUGCUCUGCUGGCUUGAAGUGCCAGGUUGCUAACAAACACUGCUAAUUCCAAAAUGUGCCCCCGGGGCUGAAGCAGCCAUGUAGAGGAGGAGGUUUUAGGCCUGGGAUGGCUGAAAAUUCAAAGCUUCAUUUUUCUUUGUUAAACAAAAUGAGCUGUUUUACCUUCAGCUUCAUUCAAAUGGCGUGUGUGGUGCAACAGGUUUAAUGUAAUUAAAAAAAAAAAGGGGCGCGGGGGAGGAGAUUCCAGGAAAAUAAAUGUAAUGGCUAUCAGCAGAAUUUCUCUCGAGAUCGGAAGGGAUUGUGACAUUGGAGGAGUGGCUUAGGGGGUGGAGUGUUUCCUUGAUUCUUUUUUUAAUAAUUUGGCUGAAAUUUUUUUAAAUGACUAAUGGUUUUGAGGUGCCCCACUUGACACCUCAAAGAGGCCUGAUUUCUCAGAAGUUGAGUGCUCAGCUCUUUCUGAAAAUCAGGACCUCUUAAGAUAUAUUAGGUUGGGCACCCCAAAAUUGUGACUAAAACCUCAGGUUUCCCUUUAUAAAAUUCCAAUAGAAACUUUGUACGUCAGUGUAUCCUUCGUUAGUAAUUGUGCUCUGGAAUAUAUCUGUGUUGUAUUCUUCACUGUAUUUCUCAGGGCGAUGUCUUUUUCAGAAGCAUCUGUUUUAAACUCUUUAAUCCUUUGUUUGUAUUUGCCAAAUGGAAAAUAACAGAGUGGGGAUAAAUAUUUUUAAACCUCCGAAGUUUACCAGCAAGAGAUUUGGGGAGCAGGAUGUGGGGGAGGGAACGUGAAACUCUAAAAUAAGUCUGACACUGAAAAAGACAGUGUGGUAAAGAUCUACUUCAUUCUAGGCCAUGGAAUCAGAGUGCUAGUUACAUUUUGGGAAAGCUAUUAAUAGAAACGGUUGAUAGAUUUUUAUUUUCAGUGAAUAGUGCGCUAGGAAUGCUGUGUGCAGUUGCGUUGCUGAGUGAAUGUGUGUUAAACAUCCUUGCAAAGAGGAGCCCAUUGAGUGACUUUUUGCAGUCAUUUUAUCACACCACCAAUUAUUUGUAUUGUCACCGCGCUUUUUUUAAAAGGAAGAACUAUUUCUUAACAGUGUUCAUACAAAGCAAUGAUGUGACUGUUUAUAUACGUUUUUACAAAAAUCUAACACUGGAAACGGGCCAUUUUUCACAUGGUUUAAUGUUUAUAAAUCAAGCUGUAAACAGUUCUUUUCCUGUUAAUAAUGAACCAUAAAAUGUUUGGGAAUUGAUGGAAAUUUAUUUUUAAAAAACAAAUAUAUAUUUUUGAAUAAUAAAAUCGUUUUUUGGCCUAAA